rnacentral:tRNA from 1 species
GGGGCUGUAGCUCAGCUGGGAGAGCGCCGCCUUUGCACGGCGGAGGUCGUCGGUUCGAUCCCGGUCAGCUCCA